rnacentral:misc_RNA from 1 species
GGUAUGUUGGAUCCCUGCCGAGGCAGCGACAGCGUCCCCUUCACGCCAGUUCAUUGGGCGAUCGAAUCUCGCAUCCGGUCGUCUCCCCUUCGGUUUCCUGUGUUGCAUACCCGUCCCGACGGCAUCCCGAUGCCCAGAAACGCCCCGUUUCGCCCCACGCCGCGAGCAACGCCGCGGCCGAAGGCGAACCAGAAGGCGCUCGUCGCGUUCCGCCCCGUCGGCGAAAAUCUCGCGUUUCGGGAGCCGGCCCACGACGACGCGCCCGAAUUCUCGGAUGCGGAACACGGAGCGGGCACGAGGACGUCGAUCCUCCGUCUGCCCCCGAACGAGCGUUCCGCGCUACGUGCGAACGACGCUCCUCCUCGCCCCGGGCUCACGUCCGCGCGAGGUCGACGUCGCGGAGGAAUGCUACCUGGUUGAU